CCUACGGGUGGCAGCAGUGAGGAAUAUUGGUCAAUGGACGAGAGUCUGAACCAGCCAAGUAGCGUGAAGGAUGACUGCCCUAUGGGUUGUAAACUUCUUUUAUAUGGGAAUAAAACGUUCCACGUGUGGGAUUUUGUAUGUACCAUAUGAAUAAGGAUCGGCUAACUCCGUGCCAGCAGCCGCGGUAAUACGGAGGAGCCGAGCGUUAUCCGGAUUUAUUGGGUUUAAAGGGAGCGUAGGUGGAUUGUUAAGUCAGUUGUGAAAGUUUGCGGCUCAACCGUAAAAUUGCAGUGGAAACUGGCAGUCUUGAGUACAGUAGAGGUGGGCGGAAUUCGUGGUGUAGCGGUGAAAUGCUUAGAUAUCACGAAGAACUCCGAUUGCGAAGGCAGUUCACUGGACUGCAACUGACACUGAGGCUCGAAAGUGUGGGUAUCAAACAGGAUUAGAUAACCGAGUAGUC
rnacentral:rRNA from 1 species